AGCGAACGCUGGCGGCAGGCCUAACACAUGCAAGUCGAACGAAGUCUUCGGACUUAGUGGCGGACGGGUGAGUAACACGUGGGAACGUGCCUUUAGGUUCGGAAUAACUCAGGGAAACUUGUGCUAAUACCGAAUGUGCCCUUCGGGGGAAAGAUUUAUCGCCUUUAGAGCGGCCCGCGUCUGAUUAGCUAGUUGGUGAGGUAAAGGCUCACCAAGGCUACGAUCAGUAGCUGGUCUGAGAGGAUGACCAGCCACAUUGGGACUGAGACACGGCCCAAACUCCUACGGGAGGCAGCAGUGGGGAAUCUUGCGCAAUGGGCGAAAGCUUGACGCAGCCAUGCCGCGUGGAUGAUGAAGGUCUUAGGAUUGUAGAAUUCUUUCAGCAGGGACGAUAAUGACGGUACCUGCAGAAGAAGCCCCGGCUAACUUCGUGCCAGCAGCCGCGGUAACAC
rnacentral:rRNA from 1 species